UUGAUGGAAGCUCAUGGCAGCCAUCUGUAUCAGACAGAGACAACAUGCCCUACACCAAUUCUGUCAUUCAUGAGAUACAGAGUAUAGGAAAUAUAGGCCCAUUAAAUGUGUUUGGAAUCACAGUGAAACCACUCAGGAAAAUAUUUUAUUCCACAGGGCACUCUUGUUAUUGGCAGUUUGACAUCAGUGCUGUUUGAUGAGUCUGAGUGGGAGACGCCUCACUCUUUUAACCCGGGUCACUUCCUGGAUGCUGAGGGCAAAUUCAGGAGGAGAGAUGCCUUUUUACCUUUUUCUAUAGGAAAACUAGUGUGUCUUGGGGAGCAGUUGACGAGGAGGCUUCCUCUUCAUCUCCUCUCUGCUGCAGCGCUUCACUUUCUCU
ensembl:processed_transcript